rnacentral:rRNA from 1 species
CAGCAGCCACGGUAAUACGUAGGUGGCAAGCGUUGUCCGGAAUUAUUGGCGUAAAGGGCUCGCAGGCGGUUUCUUAAGUCUGAUGUGAAAGCCCCCGGCUCAACCGGGGAGGGUCAUUGGAAACUGGGAAACUUGAGUGCAGAAGAGGAGAGUGGGAUUCCACGUGUAGCGGUAAAAUGCGUAGAGAUGUGGAGGAACACCAGUGGCGAAGGCGACUCUCUGGUCUGUAACUGACGCUGAGGAGCGAAAGCGUGGGGAGCGAACAGGAUUAGAUACCCGUGUAGUCCCUGUCUCUUAUACA